UGAGGAAUAUUGGUCAAUGGCCGAGAGGCUGAACCAGCCAAGUCGCGUGAGGGAUGAAGGUUCUAUGGAUCGUAAACCUCUUUUAUGAGGGAAUAAAGUGCGGGACGUGUCCCGUUUUGUAUGUACCUUAUGAAUAAGGAUCGGCUAACUCCGUGCCAGCAGCCGCGGUAAUACGGAGGAUCCGAGCGUUAUCCGGAUUUAUUGGGUUUAAAGGGUGCGUAGGCGGCCUUUUAAGUCAGCGGUGAAAGUCUGUGGCUCAACCAUAGAAUUGCCGUUGAAACUGGGAGGCUUGAGUAUGUUUGAGGCAGGCGGAAUGCGUGGUGUAGCGGUGAAAUGCUUAGAUAUCACGCAGAACCCCGAUUGCGAAGGCAGCCUGCCAAGCCAUGACUGACGCUGAUGCACGAAAGCGUGGGGAUCAAACAGG
rnacentral:rRNA from 1 species